rnacentral:rRNA from 1 species
CCCGUCACACCAUGGGAGUCAGUUGCUCUAGAAGUCGGUGCGCCAACCUCGUGAGGCAGCCGCCUAAAGAGUGACUGGUGACUGGGUG